GCGUCGGUAGUCUAAUGGUAGGACCAUGGCCUUCCAAGCCAUUAAUCCGGGUUCGAAUCCCGGCCGACGCA
rnacentral:tRNA from 1 species